UUCAGAAAAAAUGGCAGGCAGAAACCAAGCUGAAAAAAAUCAAAUCAAGGACCUAAAGUGUGCAACCCAUCUGUUGAGUGAGAAAUUCAGAAAUAUGAGCGAGGAGAAGUGAUGCAAUAAGACUGUCCAGGCCAUCCUCAUUGUUAUUGAGUCCAUUUUGUCAGAUAGAUUCUAAUGAUAUUGUCACUGAUUAAUG